rnacentral:lncRNA from 1 species
GUGGGGUUUUGGGGCCUCCAGGUGGGGUUUUGGGGCCUCCAGGUGGGGUUUUGGGGCCUCCUGGUGGGGUUUUGGGACCUCCUGGUGUGGUUUUGGGAACGCCCUGGUGAGGUUUUGGGGCCUCUUGGUGGGGUUUUGGGGUCUCCUGGUGGGGUUUUGGGAACGCCCUGGUGUGGUUUUGGGGUCUCCUGGAGUGGUUUUGGGACCCCCUGGUGUGGGUUUGGGACCCACUGCUGUGGUUUUGGGACCCCCCCCAGCGUGGUUUUGGGAUCCCCUGGUGUGGUUUUGGGGUCUCCUGGUGGGGUUUUGGGAACGCCCUGGUGUGGUUUUGGGAUCCCCCUGGGGGUAUGCAUGGUGCACCCAGGGGUGCUCGGGUCUUGGGGGGGUCUCCAAGGGCUGUAGGGGACGGGCAGACGGACAGACAGGCAGCAGCUCUGCUGACCCCCUGCACCCCAAAACCAGCCCCCCAAAACCAGCCCCCCGUAUGGCUGCGUGGACAGACAGACACGGGUUCUGCUGACCCUACACCCCAAAACCUGCCCCCCACAACGCUCACCCCACACCCUGCAACAUGCAGCCCCCCCCCAGUACCCCACAACCCUACCCCACACCCCACAGCCCCCUCCGUGCCCCCCGACCCCAUACCCAACUUGGGGUCUCCUGGGGACUCCCCCGACCCCAACCCUGGACCCCACAGCCCCCUCCAUGCCCCCACCUCACCCCCCACCCCCUAUACCCAACAUGGGGUCCCUUGGGGGUUCGCCCCACCCCACAACCCCCUCCAUGCACCCCACAGCCCCCCCCAUACCCCCUGCCCCCCACCCCCCGCCCCCAAAUACCCAACUCGGGGGCUCCCCCAGCCCCAACCCCACACCCCUCAGCCCCCCCCAGCCCCCCUGACCCCAUACCCAGCUCGGGGGGCUCUUGGGGUCUCUCUGCCCGCAGCGGGGGGCUCCCACCUGUCCCGGUGCUCCGAGCGUCUCCGAGCCCCCAGUCCCCCCCCCCCGGGCUCUGCUCCCCGAUCAAUUAUUGAUGCCAUCGAUCAAUUAUUGAUGCCAGCGCCGCAGCGGCUCCGGUUACGGGGAAUGGGGUUACGGGGUGGGGGGGGGCUGGGGGGGCUGGGCAGG